AUGAACGCUGGCGGCGUGCUUAACACAUGCAAGUCGAACGGAACUAUUAAGUGAAAGUUUUCGGAUGGAAGCUUAGUAGUUUAGUGGCGGACGGGUGAGUAACGCGUGGGUAACCUGCCUUAUACAGGGGGAUAACAGUCAGAAAUGGCUGCUAAUACCGCAUAACCCUUUGGUGCCGCAUGGCACAGAAGGAAAAGAUUUAUCGGUAUAAGAUGGACCCGCGUCUGAUUAGCUAGUUGGUAGAGUAACGGCCUACUAAGGCGACGAUCAGUAGCCGACUUGAGAGAGUGAUCGGCCACAUUGGGACUGAGACACGGCCCAAACUCCUACGGGAGGCAGCAGUGGGGAAUAUUGCACAAUGGGGGAAACCCUGAUGCAGCGACGCCGCGUGAAGGAAGAAGUAUUUCGGUAUGUAAACUUCUAUCAGCAAGGAAGAAAAUGACGGUACUUGACUAAGAAGCCCCGGCUAACUACGU
rnacentral:rRNA from 1 species